rnacentral:rRNA from 1 species
GACGAACGCUGGCGGCGUGCCUAAUACAUGCAAGUCGAACGCAUUUUCUUUCACCGUAGCUUGCUACACCGAAAGAAAAUGAGUGGCGAACGGGUGAGUAACACGUGGGUAACCUGCCCAUCAGCGGGGGAUAACACUUGGAAACAGGUGCUAAUACCGCAUAAUUCCAUUUACUGCAUGGUAGAUGGAUGAAAGGCGCUUUUGCGUCACUGAUGGAUGGACCCGCGGUGCAUUAGCUAGUUGGGGGGGUAACGGCCUACCAAGGCUGCGAUGCAUAGCCGGCCUGGGGGGGUGAACGGCCAAACUGGGACUGGGAAACGGCCCAGACCCCUACGGGAGGCAGCAGUAGGGAAUCUUCGGAAAAAGACGCAAGUCUGACCGAGCAACGCCGCGGGAGGGAAGAAGGUUUUCGGAUCGUAAAACUCUGUUGUUAGAAAAGAAAAAGGAUGAGAGUGGAAAGUUCAUCCCUUGACGGUAUCUAACCAGAAAGCCACGGCUAACUACGUG